UCAAAGCAUAAUAUUUGAGUAUAUUCUAUGAAUGGAACUGGAUUGAACCAUUUUGAGAGAAAUUAGAAAGGAUUUUUUUGGGGAGUUUUUUUCAUCUUCUUUUUGUUGUGUUUCACUAUAAUGGCCGAUAAUCUGUGAACAUGCUUGAUCUGUUGUCGACUAGGCCUAUUUGACUUUCAGUAGAUCAAGCAAGCAGACAACAUUCUUGUCAAAGAAUGGUAUGGUACACCUUUGAAUACAUGUUAAAAACAUUAAAAAAAUGAUAGGUUCUAGUGUUUUACAUUUUUUCCUAUUUUCCUGAUAAUGUUAAAAAAAAUUAGGCAAAUAAAAAAAAUCAGCAAAACACAGGCCCAUAUCAUCCGAUAGAAGCCUGAUAUAUCCCAUAUAAUAUCAUGUUUGAGCUCGGCCAAUGCAGCGACACAUACUUUAUUUAAAACCUUGUUACUAGCUGUUGUGAAGAUAUAUAUCAGUGGUUUCUCUCGAGGAUCUCGAAUGGAGGUCGAAGGUUUUGAGGAUCUCGAUGGUUGGACUGCUAGUAAUCAUCGCAGGAGCCCCUUAUAGCAUUUUCAUCACCAACAUUUCAUUCGAAUCAUGAGAGACCAAUCUAAUUGAGGUGUUCUCUUGUUUUGGGUACAUUGCCAACAUCUUCACUCCUGUAAAUCAGUCAUUUGGCAAGAGUUGAGGGUUCGCUUUCAUGCAUUUUCUGUAUUUAGACCAUGCAGCUGACGGUAUCUAAGUCAUGAAAUGAAGGAGAUUUGGUGGUAGGGUAAUUGCGGUGAACGAAGCAAGAGCAAUGGUGAAUGGGGCUAGAGGUAGGUCAAAGGUUAUAUCUCAGAAGGGUGAAUCUGGUCCUGGAUGUUUUAAUGGGGGCAAGAUCGCAAACUCCAAUCAUGGGGGUGAUUGUUCUUUUAGAGAAACAGUGGUUAGUCAUCGUGGAUCAUCAUAUUUUAAUGGGGGCAUAGUUCUAUUAUUGUUCGAAGAUCCUCUGACUUGGAGCCGUGUCUGGUGGGGAUCAUCAUUUUUCUUGCAACGCCUUGUUGUUGCUUCUCCCGUUUUCCAUUUUGUUUCUGUUAUAGUGUGUAUGGGCAUGCCAUGGUACAAGUAAAUUGGAGAUCAUCCAGUAAAGAUAAUUGCUGCCAUAAACCCCGCAUCUUAAAAUAAUAAUCAGAAACCGAAUGCUUCCCCUGUCUUCAAGUCCCAAUCUCGUGGUAAAUAUUGAAAAUCUGAGCCAUAUUAUUCUAAUCAGUAUACAAUUCAUGAGCAGCCAACCAAAUUUCACGGGCAGUAGAUAAUAAGAAAAAUCCUUCACUAACUUCUGAUUCCAUACAUUAAAAAAAAAACAAAAA